rnacentral:tRNA from 1 species
GGAAGUGUAGCCCAGUUGGUGGGGUGUUUGCCUAGCAAGCACAAAGCCCUGGGUUCGAUUCCCUGCCCU